AUUGAACGCUGGCGGCAUGCCUUACACAUGCAAGUCGAACGGCAGCACGGGUGCUUGCACCUGGUGGCGAGUGGCGAACGGGUGAGUAAUACAUCGGUACAUGUCCCGUGGUGGGGGAUAGCCCGGCGAAAGCCGGAGUAAUACCGCAUACGAUCUACGGAUGAAAGCGGGGGGCCUGCGGGCCUCGCGCUAUAGGGUUGGCCGAUGGCUGAUUAGCUAGUUGGUGGGGUAAAGGCCUACCAAGGCGACGAUCAGUAGCUGGUCUGAGAGGACGACCAGCCACACUGGGACUGAGACACGGCCCAGACUCCUACGGGAGGCAGCAGUGGGGAAUUUUGGACAAUGGGCGAAAGCCUGAUCCAGCAAUGCCGCGUGUGUGAAGAAGGCCUUCGGGUUGUAAAGCACUUUUGUCCGGAAAGAAAUCCUUGGCCCUAAUACGGUCGGGGGAUGACGGUACCGGAAGAAUAAGCACCGGCUAACUACGUG
rnacentral:rRNA from 1 species